CCCUUAGAUGUUCUGGGUCGCACGCGCGCUACACUGAUGCAUUCAACGAGUUUCUUCCUGGUCCGAGAGGAAUGGGUAACCUUUUGAAAGCGCAUCGUGAUAGGGAUAGACUAUUGCAAUUAUUGGUCUUCAACGAGGAAUUCCUAGUAGACGUAGUUCAUCAGACUGCAUCGAUUACGUCCCUGCCCUUUGUACACACCGCCCGUCGCUCCUACCGAUUGAAUGCUCAGGUGAGCCAUUCGGACCUUCAUCAUGCCGGUUUCCGGUUUUGAUGAGGGAAAGUCUUGCGAACCUUAUCAUUUAGAGGAAGGAGAAGUCGUAACA
rnacentral:rRNA from 1 species